GGAAGUCGUAACAAGGGACCCGUAGAGUUUAUUCCUGUACCCGUAAAGUUUGAACCGGGCUGCCGAAAAUUGGAAAAGGGGUCCCUAAUGUUUCGGAACGUGCCCAGUAACGGGGGAUAACUACGCGAAAGCGUGGCUAAUACCGCAUACGCCCUACGGGGGAAAGGGGGGGAUCGCAAGACCUCUCACUAUUGGAGCGGCCGAUAUCGGAUUAGCUAGUUGGUGAGGUAAAGGCUCACCAAGGCGACGAUCCGUAGCUGGUUUGAGAGGACGACCAGCCACACUGGGACUGAAACACGGCCCAAACUCCUACGGGAGGCAGCAGUGGGGAAUUUUGGACAAUGGGGGCAACCCUGAUCCAGCCAUCCCGCGUGUGCGAUGAAGGCCUUCGGGUUGUAAAGCACUUUUGGCAGGGAAGAAAAGUUUCGGGCUAAUACCCUGGAGCGAUGACGGUACCUGCAAAUAAGCACCGGCUAACUACGUGCCACAGCCGCGGUAAUACGUAGGGUGCAAGCGUUAAUCGGAUUACUGGGCGUAAAGCGUGCGCAGGCGGUUCGGAAAAAAAGAUGUGAAAUCCCAGGGCUUACCCUUGGGAACUGCAUUUUUAAUGUCCAACUCGAGUAUGUCAGAGGGGGGGUAGAAUUCCCCGUGUACAUUGAAUUGCGUAAAGAUGUGGAGAA
rnacentral:rRNA from 1 species